AGCUAAAGAGAGAGAGGAUUAAUUAGGGCUGAUUCACAAGCAACUUAUCAUACCUACCAUCAUUGUUAGUUUCAGCCUGGCACUCUAUUUACAAAACUACUUGAGUUCUGUUUUAAGCCUUUUCAUCCUGGCAGGAAGGACUACCAUACCUUCUUCCUUCUGAAUCAGCUUGGUCUACAUGAUAAUUUUCUUGUCUCCAGACUUUCAGAAAGGGAAAAGAAAGCAAUUAUCUUCACUCAACUGACAUGAAUUUCAAGGCUCUUUAAGCUAUCUGUUCAACUGCUUGGCCUGUCCACACAGCUUUCCAAGACAACCAAACUGAAGAUAGGAUGCUUAGUGCUGUACCAGUAUGUGUCUGAAGACCUACAAAAAAGGGCUGAUGAAACUCUACCAAGAGAUCACCACUCUGUUUUGAAUCCUGUGAGUGGACAAGCACAGCCUCACAGAACUUGUGUAAAUAAAGAACAGGCAAUCCGAUGCAGAGCUAUGGCAGGCUACGUCGUUUGGAGUGGAAUAAGCAUCUCAGUUUUGUCAGUACUUCCCACUGCCGUAGAUUCUCUCGUGGGAAAAAUGCCAGGGAGUGGAUCUUGACAGAGUAUGGUACAAGCAUGGCUGAUUCACAGGCUCACGGCCAGAGCCAGGAGAAUAAUGUGGAACUCCAUGCAAAGAAGGCUGUGGCACAAGGCUGGUCAUCCAGGAGCACACACAGAACUGCAGGGAACAGAAAACAAUGCAAAGGGACUCUGGAGAGGCGGGGGAGCCCAUGGACACACACGACUAGCUCAAUAACCAGUUUGUUACACGAAGCCAUCUAGCAUACCAUUCAAAUGAACAGCACACAGCUUGGCCAUCAGACUCCAGCCGGACCCCACCAACAAGGCAAAGAAGAGAAACGGACAACUUGUAUCUAACUUAACAAGUUCGGCUUUCUCUGGGAUUGCGAGGCUCUGCUAACACGUCAAGUACGGUGGCAGCCCACAGCACCUGGUGCUACAGAGCACAGCUACGAGAACUCAGAACGUUUACAGCUCUGCCAUACUUCGCGAUUUCCUGCUCAGGACUGCUAAGUGAUUACUCACCCGAUACUAUAUGAGCAUUACUCAAUGAAAGAACCGGACGAGAUGGGAAGUUUCACCUCAGCCCGCCUGGCUCCCCGCGCGACAGCGCCCGUUCCGGCAGCACCGCGCCGCUCCCAGCCGCUGCAGGGCAGCGCCGUUCGGACGCGCUUCUGCGGGCAUCGGCGGGCCGCGAGCGGAGCGCCGCGGGCAGCGCAGAGAGGUAAUUGCCGCCGUGCCGAGAGCCCGGGCACGGCACGAGCCGCCCACGUCGUCUGAGAAGUAAUGAGGGCAGAUGUUUAUUAAAGGCUUCCUAACGACUCUGCUAACUUCGCCGCCUCGCUCGAGUAAGCUUCCGACAGCUACACGCGGCAAUUACUCGAGAGCGAGCGCGGAGACGGAGCGCGAACGACAGAACGAAGGGACGGAAAGGCAGAAAAGCCGCCAGGCGGAACCGGGCUCCUCGUGAAGAGGUGCGCGCGAGCCCGGCCCGGGGGCGGCGGAACCGCCUGGGAUCGGGACCGCGCCGGCAGCUCCGGAGCCCACCGAACCCCGGGGCUCCGCCCUCCUCUCACCUUCCG